GAUGAACGCUGGCGGCGUGCUUAACACAUGCAAGUCGAACGGACUUUACAUGAAGCCUAGCGAAUGCAAAGUUAGUGGCGGACGGGUGAGUAACGCGUGAAUAACCUGCCUUAUACUGGGGGACAACAGUUGGAAACGACUGCUAAUACCGCAUAAGCGCACGGAGCUGCAUGGCUCAGUGUGAAAAACUCCGGUGGUAUAAGAUGGAUUCGCGUCUGAUUAGCUAGUUGGUGAGGUAACGGCCCACCAAGGCGACGAUCAGUAGCCGGACUGAGAGGUUGAACGGCCACAUUGGAACUGAGAACGGUCCAGACUCCUACGGGAGGCAGCAGUGGGGAAUAUUGGGGCAAUGGGCGAAAGCCUGACCCAGCGACGCCGCGUGAAGGAAGACGGUCUUCGGAUCGUAAACUCCUGUCCUCAGGGAAGAGCAGAGACGG
rnacentral:rRNA from 1 species